GAUGAACGCUGGCGGCGUGCCUAAUACAUGCAAGUCGAGCGAACAGAUGAGGAGCUUGCUCCUCUGACGUUAGCGGCGGACGGGUGAGUAACACGUGGAUAACCUACCUAUAAGACUGGGAUAACUUCGGGAAACCGGAGCUAAUACCGGAUAAUAUAUUGAACCGCAUGGUUCAAAAGUGAAAGACGGUUUUGCUGUCACUUAUAGAUGGAUCCGCGCCGCAUUAGCUAGUUGGUAAGGUAACGGCUUACCAAGGCAACGAUGCGUAGCCGACCUGAGAGGGUGAUCGGCCACACUGGAACUGAGACACGGUCCAGACUCCUACGGGAGGCAGCAGUAGGGAAUCUUCCGCAAUGGGCGAAAGCUUGACGGAGCAACGCCGCGUGAGUGAUGAAGGUCUUCGGAUCGUAAAACUCUGUUAUUAGGGAAGAACAAAUGUGUAAGUAACUAUGCACGUCUUGACGGUACCUAAUCAGAAAGCCACGGCUAACUACGUG
rnacentral:rRNA from 1 species